UCCUACGGGAGGCAGCAGUAGGGAAUAUUGGACAAUGGGGGAAACCCUGAUCCAGCCAUGCCGCGUGAGUGAAGAAGGCCUUAGGGUUGUAAAGCUCUUUCACUGGCGAGGAUGAUGACGGUAGCCAGAGAAGAAGCCCCGGCAAACUUCGUGCCAGCAGCCGCGGUAAUACGAAGGGGGCGAGCGUUGUUCGGAAUUACUGGGCGUAAAGGGCGCGUAGGCGGCGCGUUGCGUCAGAGGUGAAAGCCCCGGGCUCAACCUGGGAACGGCCUUUGAUACGGGCGUGCUAGAAUCCAAGAGAGGGUGGUGGAAUUCCCAGUGUAGAGGUGAAAUUCGUAGAUAUUGGGAAGAACACCGGUGGCGAAGGCGGCCACCUGGCUUGGUAUUGACGCUGAGGCGCGAAAGCGUGGGGAGCGAACAGGAUUAGAUACCCUGGUAGUCCACGCCGUAAACGAUGUGCGCUAGCCGUCGGCAGCAUGCUGUUCGGUGGCGCAAGCUAACGCGUUAAGCGCACCGCCUGGGGAGUACGGCCGCAAGGUUAAAACUCAAAGGAAUUGACGGAAUCGAAUUCCCGCG
rnacentral:rRNA from 1 species